rnacentral:lncRNA from 1 species
CCACGGAAAGGUGGGAGUUGCGGUCCGCGGUGCCGGGGGUGGGGGCACCCCGCCGCCUGGCAUGGGUUCUUGAGCGCCCCCGCCUCGCGAGAACUAGGCGCCAGAGGGGCCGUGGGAGCCCCGCCCUGAGGCCAAAAUGGGGGCACGGGCCUGGCUGGGGUGCCCCGCCCCCAUGCCCCGCCCCUGACAGGCCGCACCCACCCUCGACACCCCCUGCUGCUGGCCGCUAUGGGGACGCAGCUGGUCACGCCGCAUGCGCAGUGGGUCCCAGAGGACGUCCCGCCACGUAGAGUCCACGCAGGCCCUGGGGCCGGGACUCCCACACCUUCAGCGCCCCCGAUUGUGACCUAACCGCUCCGCAGUGGACAGUGCGGACCUGGCCCAGCCCCUGGCUCUGCCCCUCCCCUCCCCAGGGCCCUGCACAGCUCAGGAUGGGGCCCAGCUGCGGGUGGGCCCUGGCGGGGUCUGGAGGGGGGCGGCGUCUCUGGUAGGAGAUGGGAGGAGGGGGAAGAGAGGUGCACCCGGCUGCCAGGUGGUGACAAAACUUGGGGUGUGAGGGCUGGGCCCAGGUACCCAUCCCAUCCCUGCACCCACUUGAACCCCGCCCUGUCCAUGUGGCGCUCAGGACAUGGUGGCCUCAGGGCCCCUGGACAAGGCUGUCAGGCCCGCAUGGCCAGACCCGCCCCCUGCAGAGGCCACUGUCCCAGCUGCCCCUUCACCCACAAGGGCCCCCCAAGGUCCCUAGCUGCCUAUCCACACCUCCCACGGGACAGGUAUGUGGGCACCAGGGGCCAGAGCCGGCCACCAGCAGGGACCACUGAGCUCCCCGGCACCAGCCUGGUGGGCAGCCCCCAGGGCCUGCAGGGAGGAGCCCCCUGGGACCAAGGACUCCCUCCGGCCCAGGUGGCCGUCUAGGGUGCUUCCCCCAGAACCUGACACAGAGCCAGCCCAGCCUCAGCCAGCCCACUGACACCAGCGGCCGCUCCCGCGUCCUACGCUUCUAGCCACCCGUGACGCCUCCUUGGCUCAGACAGGCGCAAUGGCCACCCCUGGUUUUGCCAAGGCACGUUAAGCGUGGCAGAGGGAGGGAGAGGCACCCAGGUCCACCCCACACACACACUGGCUCGUCAGACCCACGGGGCGUUGGGUGCCAGGGCGAGCAGGCCCUGCCCUCACAAGGCACCCGGCCACCCCAAAGCUGACCAGUGGGGGGGGGGGGUGACGCGCCAGGGCUGAAGGGGGCACACAUCUCCGAGGCCAUGGGGGAAGCCAGGAUGGGGGGUCUCCAGGGAGGCCUGGGGGCUUCCUGGGGCAGGACAAUGGGGGAAGCCAGGAUGGGGGUUCUCCAGGGAGGCCUGGGGGCCUUCCUGGGGCAGGGACAAUGCCAGGAAGGGGGGCCAGUGCCCUGAGGAAGCCCAGGUUGAGGCCCCCAGGUGCAGGCAGGAAGCGUGGAAUAAACGCAGGCACAGAAGCA